UACGGGGGGGGGCAAGCGUUGUUCGGAAUUACUGGGCGUAAAGGGCUCGUAGGCGGCCAACUAAGUCAGACGUGAAAUCCCUCGGCUUAACCGGGGAACUGCGUCUGAUACUGGAUGGCUUGAGUUUGGGAGAGGGAUGCGGAAUUCCAGGUGUAGCGGUGAAAUGCGUAGAUAUCUGGAGGAAUACCGGUGGCGAAGGCGGCAUCCUGGACCGACAUUGACGCUGAACGGCGAAAGCUAGGGGAGCGAAACGGG
rnacentral:rRNA from 1 species